ACAUUAGACCGUGACCCUAAAAAUAGAAGUUAGACCCUUCUUACCUGCC
rnacentral:tRNA from 1 species